CGAGGUGUAGCGCAGUUUGGUAGCGCACAUGGUUUGGGACCAUGGAGCCGGAGGUUCGAAUCCUCUCACCUCGACCA
rnacentral:tRNA from 3 species